GUCGUGCCCUAGCAGCGUCCAAAACAGUACUGCAGUAUUUGGUAAGCUGGAGUAUUGUUUCCGCUGCUCGGGUAAGUCUG
ensembl:miRNA Mir503 microRNA mir-503